rnacentral:rRNA from 1 species
UACGUAGGGCGCGAGCGUUGUCCGGAUUUACUGGGCGUAAAGGGCGCGUAGGCGGCAAUUCAAGUCAUCUGUGAAAUCUCCGGGCUUAACUCGGAACGGUCAGAUGAUACUGCUUUGCUAGAGUGCGGAAGGGGCAAUCGGAAUUCUUGGUGUAGCGGUGAAAUGCGUAGAUAUCAAGAGGAACACCUGAGGUGAAGACGGGUUGCUGGGCCGACACUGACGCUGAAGCGCGAAAGCCAGGGGAGCAAACGGG